rnacentral:rRNA from 1 species
UACGUAGGGGUGCGAGCGUUUGUCCGGAAUUAUUGGGCGUAAAGAGCUCGUAGGCGGCUUGUCGCGUCGGGAUGUGAAAGCCCGGGGCUUAACUCCGGGUCUGCAUUCGAUACGGGCAGGCUAGAGUGUGGUAGGGGAGAUCGAAUUCCUGGUGUAGCGGUGAAAUGCGCAGAUAUCAGGAGGAACACCGGUGGCGAAGGCGGAUCUCUGGGCCAUUACUGACGCUGAGGAGCGAAAGCGUGGGGAGCGAACAGG